GAGCACAUGGUGUAGUUGGUUAUCACGCUCGCUUAGCAUAGCAUCGACAGUGUAAUGAGCCUGCGAGAGGGUGUUGGGUUCAAUUCCCAAUGUGUCCA